GCCAGGUGCAGUGGCUUACGCCUGUAAUCCCAGCACUUUGGGAGGCUGAGGCGGGUGGAUCACCUGAGGUCAGGAGUUCAAGACCAGCCUGGCCAACAUGGUGAAACCCCGUCUCUA
rnacentral:SRP_RNA from 1 species